GACAGAGGGUGCAAACGUUGUUCGGAAUUACUGGGCGUAAAGCGUGUGUAGGCGGCUGCGCAAGUCGGAUGUGAAAGCCCCGGGCUCAACCCGGGAAGGGCACCCGAUACUGCGUAGCUUGAGUACCGGAGAGGUUGGUGGAAUUCUCGGUGUAGAGGUGAAAUUCGUAGAUAUCGGGAGGAACACCGGUGGCGAAGGCGGCGAUCUGGGUCGAUACUGACGCUGAGGUGCGAAAGCGUGGGGAGCAAACAGG
rnacentral:rRNA from 1 species